rnacentral:rRNA from 1 species
UUUCCAUUUUUUUAAGUUUUUUUUUCUGCUCAGGAUGAACGCUGGCGGCGUGCCUAAUACAUGCAAGUCGAGCGAAUGGAUUAAGAGCUUGCUCUUAUGAAGUUAGCGGCGGACGGGUGAGUAACACGUGGGUAACCUGCCCAUAAGACUGGGAUAACUCCGGGAAACCGGGGCUAAUACCGGAUAACAUUUUGAACCGCAUGGUUCGAAAUUGAAAGGCGGCUUCGGCUGUCACUUAUGGAUGGACCCGCGUCGCAUUAGCUAGUUGGUGAGGUAACGGCUCACCAAGGCAACGAUGCGUAGCCGACCUGAGAGGGUGAUCGGCCACACUGGGACUGAGACACGGCCCAGACUCCUACGGGAGGCAGCAGUAGGGAAUCUUCCGCAAUGGACGAAAGUCUGACGGAGCAACGCCGCGUGAGUGAUGAAGGCUUUCGGGUCGUAAAACUCUGUUGUUAGGGAAGAACAAGUGCUAGUUGAAUAAGCUGGCACCUUGACGGUACCUAACCAGAAAGCCACGGCUAACUACGUGCCAGCAGCCGCGGUAAUACGUAGGUGGCAAGCGUUAUCCGGAAUUAUUGGGCGUAAAGCGCGCGCAGGUGGUUUCUUAAGUCUGAUGUGAAAGCCCACGGCUCAACCGUGGAGGGUCAUUGGAAACUGGGAGACUUGAGUGCAGAAGAGGAAAGUGGAAUUCCAUGUGUAGCGGUGAAAUGCGUAGAGAUAUGGAGGAACACCAGUGGCGAAGGCGACUUUCUGGUCUGUAACUGACACUGAGCCGCGAAAAGAGGGC